UACGUAGGCAGCAAGCGUUGUUCGGAAUUACUGGGCGUAAAGAGUGUGUAGGCGGUUCUCUAAGUUCGGUGUGAAAUCUCCCGGCUUAACUGGGAGGGUGCGCCGAAAACUGGAGGGCUUGAGUAUGGGAGAGGAAAGCGGAAUUCCUGGUGUAGCGGUGAAAUGCGUAGAUAUCAGGAGGAACACCUGCGGUGUAGACGGCUUUCUGGACCAUCACUGACGCUGAGACACGAAAGCGUGGGUAGCAAACAGG
rnacentral:rRNA from 1 species